UACAGAGGAGCCAAGCGUUGUCCGGAUUGACUGGGCGUAAAGCGCACGCAGGCGGCGCGUUAAGACAGGUGUGAAAGCCCCGAGCUUAACUUGGGAAUUGCGCUUGUGACUGGCGUGCUGGAGUGUGGCAGAGGGAGGUGGAAUUCCACGUGUAGCAGUGAAAUGCGUAGAGAUGUGGAGGAACACCGAUGGCGAAGGCAGCCUCCUGGGCCAGCACUGACGCUCAUGCACGAAAGCGUGGGGAGCAAACAGG
rnacentral:rRNA from 1 species